CCAAGCCCUAACAACCAUUUUUAGCCUGAAUCAAACGACCGUUUUGCGCAUCAUGUAGUAGCGUUCCCAACCUCCCCCAUACAUAAAACCCCUGUUCCUUCAUCGGCGGUAGUCCAUUCCUCCCAAUUAACAACAACAAUGGUGGGCUGGGCGAAGAGAAACGGCAUUAGAUGAUGCAAAAUCUCUUCGGAGAUCAAUCAAUCAAUCAAUCAGAAGAAGAAGAGGUUGUUGAAUCGGAGCACGAAUCAAACCGACAACCCGAUUAUGCUUCGCAUAAAGCUUCUGGAGGCAGUCUCAAGCGCCAUUAGAUUGAAUCAGAUGAGGAGUCUCCCCAAAAAGGCAGCUGCCGCAUCUCAUUGUCGAAAGGCGCUUGUUUAUGAUAGCUAUGAAGAGUAAAAUAUAUGCGACUUGAUUCAUAGCACUACAAACUCACUGAGGACCACAAUGGUGAAUGGUGAAUGGUUGAUGGUCAACAAACACAACAAAACAUAUCUUACCUUUUUUUCUCUGCUCACAUGUGACAACAUCAACAUAUCACAUUUCGUAUCAGUUUUCUUAAGUUUUUUAGU